CGUAUAUUAAAGUUGUUGCAGUUAAAAAGCUCGUAGUUGGAUUUGUGGCGUAUGGUGUGUUCCGGGCACUUGUUGUCUGAGUAACCUGCUGUUGCCAUCCUUGGGUGGAACCUGUGUGGCAUUAGGUUGUCGUGCAGGGGAUGCCCAUCAUUUACUGUGAAAAAAUUAGAGUGUUCAAAGCAAGCUUAUGCCGUUGAAUAUAUUAGCAUGGAAUAAUGAGAUAGGACUUUUUUACUAUUUUGUUGGUUUGCGUAAAGAGGUAAUGAUUAAUAGGGACAGUUGGGGG
rnacentral:rRNA from 1 species